UCCCUUAGUGUGAUUUCCUUUUUAAUGUGGGCUGUGACAUGUGAGGUAGGAGUUAGGUUUCGUUUUUGUGCAGGAAACAGUGGAAGGAGCCUUUCUCACACUGUCUCGUAGCGGUACAAAAAGAGGGUGGGAUUUAGGGUUUCCGGUUAUCGGAGCAGGCGGUGAAGUCCGGGCCCUGGAAGUACGCUUCGCGCGUCCCCCGCUAUCCAAGCCAGAUAAUCCCGUCCUGCACACCUUGCCUUCCAGCUUGGUUCGGGAGGAGGACGCUUUGCCUGAGGGGUGUAAACAGACUUAUUUGAGGAGGAAAGGCGCAGUCCUUCUUGGAAACCACAGCUCUGACUGAAAACCAAGAUAAAGACCUACGAGAAGCUCAAAAUGGGUCAUAAAGCAGCAGAAACAACUUACAACAUCAACAACGCAUUUGGCCCAUGAACUGCUAAUGAAUGUACAGUGCAGUGGUGGUUCAAGAAUUUUUGCAAAGGAGACGAGAGCCUUGAAGAUGAGGAGCAUAGUGACUGACUAUCGGAAGUUGACAACAACCAAUUGAGAGCAAUCAUUGAAGCUGAUCCUCUUACAACUACACAAGAAGUUGCUGAAGAACUCAACGUUGACCAUUCUACAGUCAUUUGGCAUUUGAAGCAAAUUGGAAAAGUGAAAAAGCUCAAUAAGUGGGUGCCUCAUGAGCUGACCUCAAAAAAAAUCAUCGUCUUGAAGUAACUUCUCUUAUUCUAUGCAGCAAAACGAACCAUUUCUCGAUCGGAUUGUGACAUGUGAUGAAAAGUGGAUUUUAUAUGAUAACCGGUGGGGUGACCAGCUCAGUGGUUAGACCUAGAAGAAGCUCUAAAGCACUUCCCAAAGACAAACUUGCACCAAAAAAAGGCAGUGGUCACUGUUGGGUGGUCUGCUGCCAGUCUGAUACACUACAGCUUUCUGAAUCCCAGAGAAACCAUUACAUCUGAGAAAUAUGCUCAGCAAACUGAUGAGAUGCACUGAAAACUGCAACACCUGCAGCCGGCAUUGGUCAACGGAAAGGGCCCAAUUCUUCUCCACGACAACGCCUGACCACAUGUCGCCCAACCAACACUUUAAAAGUUGAACAAUUUGGAAUUCGAUGAAUUCUUGGAAAAGAUUUUCUGCAUCCUGCUGGUUAUGGAAGUGUUUUCCCUGCAAAUAGUUGUCGAGAUACUUGAAGAAGUGGUAGUCGGUUGGUGAGAGGUCAGGUUAAUAUGGCAGAUGAGGCAAAACUUCAUAGCCCAAAGCAUGGAUUUUUAUGCUACAGGAAUAAACAAACUUAU